GGAGCCGUGUCAGAGUGGUCUAACGUACCUCUUUGCUAAAGAGGCAGNNAAAACCCCUCGGCGGUUCGAAUCCGCCCGGCUCCGCCU
rnacentral:tRNA from 1 species